rnacentral:tRNA from 1 species
GGAGGAUAGGCGAAUGGCUAGCAGCGUCAUUGGAAAUGAUGUGCCUCGCAAGGGGUUGCGGGUUCGAGUCCCGUGUCCUCCG